rnacentral:siRNA from 1 species
UUUUUGGCGUGCGACUCAAUGU